AUGCAUGCUACGAAAGAUAGGAUCGAGUCUGAAACAUCAACCGUCUACUCAAUAUCCUUGUACGAGUCCACAAUCACUACACGAGAUGAACCUUGGUUUGGUGAAUUGAAGUUUGCCUUAGGUGUAAAAAAAAAGGACUCCCAGGUACUGCGCGCGAUCGUAUACUGAGGUGCUCCCCGCCGGUUGUUGGAACGACGCGAGCCGGGCCUCCAUUCAGAAAGAUGAAGGGUCCAAACAAAAGUAAAAAUAGGGGGUUACAAAUUACCCAUCUCAUUGGGGGCGGAAAACGAAUCGACAUCUCGAUGUGAUACAACCUUUUCUAUUUUUGUUGGGAAAGAACGGCGAAGUCCAUCCGAACCGUCCAAUGAGGAAUAA